rnacentral:rRNA from 1 species
UGAGGAAUAUUGGUCAAUGGGCGAGAGCCUGAACCAGCCAAGUAGCGUGCAGGAUGACGGCCCUAUGGGUUGUAAACUGCUUUUAUGCGGGGAUAACGUGCACCACGUGUGGUGUAUUGCAGGUACCGCAUGAAUAAGGACCGGCUAAUUCCGUGCCAGCAGCCGCGGUAAUACGGAAGGUCCGGGCGUUAUCCGGAUUUAUUGGGUUUAAAGGGAGCGUAGGCCGCUGUUUAAGCGUGUUGUGAAAAACCGGGGCUCAACUCCGGUCGUGCAGCGCGAACUGGAUUAGAUACCCUGGUAGU